GGAGAGCUUUACAUUUACCUGAAGUUGACAUACUAUCCUGAUGUUACUCCUGAUGAUUAUCAUCCACAUGGGUUUGUGUAAGCACAGCCAAACGCAUUUAAAUUUGCUGGUGAAGAUUCACUGAAAUUCAUCAUUGGACAAGUUCACACU